UGCGCAGGUGGGCUUGUAAGUCAGUGGUGAAAUACUGCCGCUUAACGGUAGAACUGCCAUUGAUACUGCAAGUCUUGAGUAUGGUUGAGGUAGGCGGAAUGUGUUGUGUAGCGGCGAAAUGCAUAGAUAUGACACAGAACUCCAAUUGCGAAGGCAGCUUACUAAGCCAUUACUGACGCUGAGGCACGAAAGCGUGGGGAGCGAACAGGAUUAGAUACCCUGGUAGUCC
rnacentral:rRNA from 1 species